GUAGGUGGCAAGCGUUGUCCGGAAUUAUUGGGCGUAAAGCGCGCGCAGGCGGUUUUUUAAGUCUGAUGUGAAAGCCCACGGGCUCAACCGUGAGGGUCAUUGGAAACUGGAGAACUUGAGUACAGAAGAGGAAAGCGGAAUUCCACGUGUAGCGGUGAAAUGCGUAGAGAUGUGGAGGAACACCAGUGGCGAAGGCGGCUUUCUGGUCUGUAACUGACGCUGAGGCGCGAAAGCGUGGGGAGCAAACAGGAUUAGAUACCCUGGUAGUCCACGCCGUAAACGAUGAGUGCUAAGUGUUAGGGGGUUUCCGCCCCUUAGUGCUGCAGCUAACGCAUUAAGCACUCCGCCUGGGGAGUACGGCCGCAAAGGCUG
rnacentral:rRNA from 1 species